rnacentral:rRNA from 1 species
CGGGACGGGUGAGUAAUGCUUGGGAAUCUGGCUUAUGGAGGGGGAUAACUACGGGAAACUGUAGCUAAUACCGCGUAAUAUCGAAAGAUUAAAGUGUGGGACCUUCGGGCCACAUGCCAUAGGAUGAGCCCAAGUGGGAUUAGGUAGUUGGUGAGGUAAAGGCUCACCAAGCCGACGAUCUCUAGCUGGUCUGAGAGGAUGACCAGCCACACUGGGACUGAGACACGGCCCAG